AGCCUCUUGCGUUUAUACAGAGGGGUAGAGCACUGAAAAGGCUAGGGCCCAUACCCGGGUACCAAACCUUAUCAAACUCCGAAUACUCUGUAACAUAGCAAGGGAGUCAGACUAUGGGUGAUAAGAUCCUUAGUCGAGAGGGAAACAGCCCAGACCACCAGCUAAGGCUCCUAAAUAAAAGCUAAGUGGCAAAGGAGGUGAAAGUGCAGUGACAAUCAGGAGGUUUGCCUAGAAGCAGCCACCCUCUAAGGAGUGCGUAAUAGCUCACUGAUCAAGCGCUUUUGCGCCGAAAAUGACCGGAACUAAGUUUUUUGCCGAAGCUGUGGCUACAUCACACAGAUGAUGUAGGGUAGAGGAGCGUUCCGCCCAGGGGGAAGCCAAGCGCGUAAGCCGCGGUGGACAGGGCGGAAGUGAGAAUGUCAGCUUGAGUAACGCAAACAUUGGUGAGAAUCCAGUGCCCCGAAAACUCAAGGGUUCCUGCGCAAGGCUCGUCCGCGCAGGGUCAGUCAGGACCUAAGGUGAGGCCGAAAGGCGUAAUUGAUGGCAAGAAGGUUUAUAUUCCUUCACUAGUCUAGGCUUAGUCCUGAGGGACGAACAAAUAACACUCGGCACAAUGGCCUUCCAUGGUAGGAAGGGUCAAACCAUUGUUGUUUGAUGGUAUUUUUUCCAAGAAAAGCUCAUUCGACUUUGAGUCUAGACUACCUGUACCGUAAACCGACACAGGUGAGUGGGUUGAAUAAACUAAGGGGAGCGAGAUAACUCUCUCUAAGGAACUCGGCAAAAUAGCUCCGUAACUUCGGGAGAAGGAGUGCCUUAUUCGUAAGGCUGCAAUAACAAGAUCCAAGCAACUGUUUAUCAAAAACACAGGUCUCCGCUAAGUCGUAAGACGAUGUAUGGGGGCUGACGCCUGCCCAGUGCCAGAAGGUUAAAGAAGUUGGUUAGCAUUAGCGAAGCUGAUAACUGAAGCCCUGGUGAACGGCGGCCGUAACUAUAACGGUCCUAAGGUAGCGAAAUUCCUUGUCGGGUAAGUUCCGACCCGCACGAAAGGCGUAAUGAUUUGGAUACUGUCUCGGAGAGGGGCUCGGUGAAAUAGACUUGUCUGUGAAGAUGCGGACUACCUGCACCUGGACAGAAAGACCCUAUGAAGCUUUACUGUAACCUGAAAUUGAAAUUGGACUUUAGUCGCGCAGUAUAGGUGGGAGGCUUUGAUAAUAUUCUUGCGGGAAUAUUGGAGCUAUCAGUGAGAUACCACUCUUCUAAUGUUAGAUUUCUAACUUUGAACCAUUAUCUGGUCAAAGAACAGUUUCAGGCGGGCAGUUUGACUGGGGCGGUCGCCUCCUAAAUGGUAACGGAGGCGUACAAAGGUUUCCUCUGAACGGGUAGAAAUCGUAUCUAG
rnacentral:rRNA from 1 species